GAUGAAGAACGCAGCGAAAUGCGAUAAGUAAUGUGAAUUGCAGAAUUCAGUGAAUCAUCGAAUCUUUGAACGCACAUUGCGCCCGCCAGUAUUCUGGCGGGCAUGCCUGUUCGAGCGUCAUUUCAACCAUCAAGCCCCCGGCUUGUGUUGGGGACCUGCGGCUGCCGCAGGCCCUGAAAAGCAGUGGCGGGCUCGCUGUCACACCGAGCGUAGUAGCAUACAUCUCGCUCUGGGCGUGCUGCGGGUUCCGGCCGUUAAACCACCUUCAUAACCCAAGGUUGACCUCGGAUCAGGUAGGAAGACCCGCUGAACUUAAGCAUAUCGAUAAGCGGAGGA
rnacentral:misc_RNA from 1 species